UCCCAGACUGCAGGGGAAACCACGCCCCUCAUCAGCAUGCACCCACAAGACACCAGAUGGCUUUCCCGUGGUCAUCCUAUAGCAAGUUUGCCAUUUCCAGCAUGUCACUUUCACCGUUCUCAAGCAGAGAGCACAGCUAUUGGUGACCCCAGCCGACUACAUCCACUGGCCGAGUACAUCUCUGUAUAGCAGUAAUCAGCCUCACCUCGGCCUUGCACCUGUCAUCAAUGAGCCCUCAUCAUCACCUGCAAAUAAGCCUGCCAGAUCCUGGAAACUCUCGCCAGAGUAUUGCAGCUUGGGUACAAUGGCUCCCCAUCUCCAAUGGAUAUCUUCCACCUCGCCAUCAAGCCAGCUGCCUGUCCUCAUCACUGCCUGCCACGUAUUCAAAACUGUGCACUGUCAAAGUCAUCCCGACUGCUGGUGAGUCUACUGGAGGAACUAGCACAGCCUUACAGCCUAGGUUUGUGUGCAGGCUGGACAGGGAGAGGAUGUAAGCAGGACAGAGAUGAAGGAGUUACAAAAGCGCGCUUGGAGAUAAUGGGAAUUCAUUUGGAAAAGACUGUGGACAAUGACACUGUGUGUGUGAGUGUGUGUUUGUGCAUGCACAUGGAUCAUCAAUGUCAUGCACAAGUUUCUGGGGAUUCUGGUGUGAAGGUGGCGACACAUGCACGCACAAACGCACACGCAUGCACACAAUCCGUGGGUUUAACUGGGCUUGACAGGGCUAAAAAAACAAUGGGUCAUAGGGGGAAGUUAGGACAUUUUUCUCACACGAUAGAGGUUGUGUGGGCCAAACUGACUUUGUGUGCUGCAGGGAUGUUUUUAUGUUUUUUUAUGUUUUUAUAGUUAUGUUAUCUUUUUAUUAAUAAAAGCACUCAAACCCA